rnacentral:rRNA from 1 species
GAUGAACGCUGGCGGCGUGCUUAACACAUGCAAGUCGAACGAUGAAGCCCAGCUUGCUGGGUGGAUUAGUGGCGAACGGGUGAGUAAUACGUGAGUAAUCUGCCUUUGACUCUGGGAUAAGCCCGAGAAACUGGGACUAUCACCGGACAGGAGAGCCUGCCGCAUGGGGGGUGCUGGAAAGAUUUUUCGGUCAUGGUUGGAUUGGCGGCCUGUCAGCUUGUUGGUGAGGUAUUGGCUCACCAAGGCGACGACGGGUAGCCGGCCUGGGAGGGUGACCGGCCACACUGGGACUGAGACGCGGCCCAGACUCCUACGGGAGGCAAGGGAGGGGAAGAGUGCAUAGUGGGCGGGAGGCUGGUGCAGCGACGCCGCGUGGGGGAUGACAGGCAUCGGGUUGGGAUCCAAUGCCAGUAUAGAAGAAGCGGAAGUGACGGUACCUGCAGAAGAAGCACCGGCUAACUACGUG